GCUACGGUGGCCUAGUGGUUAGAGCAUCCACCUUGGAUGCAGGAGGUUGUGGGUUCGAUCCUUGGCUGAGUCGUACCA